rnacentral:rRNA from 1 species
UACGAAGGUCCCGAGCGUUAUUCGGAAUUACUGGGCGUAAAGGGUGCGCAGGCGGUUUUGUAAGUCAGAUGUGAAAUCCCCGGGCUUAACCUGGGAACUGCGUUUGAAACUACAAGACUAGAGUGUAGCAGAGGGGGGUGGAAUUCCACGUGUAGCAGUGAAAUGCGUAGAGAUGUGGAGGAACACCAAUGGCGAAGGCAGCCCCCUGGGUUAACACUGACGCUCAGGCACGAAAGCGUGGGGAGCAAACAGG